UACGGAGGGGGGCUAGCGUUGUUCGGAAUUACUGGGCGUAAAGCGCACGUAGGCGGCUUUGUAAGUUAGAGGUGAAAGCCCGGGGCUCAACUCCGGAAUUGCCUUUAAGACUGCAUCGCUAGAAUUGUGGAGAGGUAAGUGGAAUUCCGAGUGUAGAGGUGAAGUUCGUAGAUAUUCGGAAGAACACCAGUGGCGAAGGCGACUUACUGGACACAUAUUGACGCUGAGGUGCGAAAGCGUGGGGAGCAAACAGGG
rnacentral:rRNA from 1 species